rnacentral:tRNA from 1 species
GUCGGGGUGGCUCAGCCUGGUCAGAGCGCCUGACUCAUAAGCCUAGCUUAAAGGUUCGACUGAAGUGUUGCGCUAAGAUAUCAGGAGGUCGCGGGUUCAACUCCCGCCCCCGACA